GACGAACGCUGGCGGCGUGCCUAACACAUGCAAGUCGAACGAACAGACCAGGAGUUUGCUCGCUUGACGUUAGCGGCCGACGGGAGAGUCACUCGUGGGUAACCUACCUCUCAGACUGGGAUAAUCACGCGAAACCGGAUCUUCUACCCGAUGAUAUUUCGCACCGCAUUGGUCGAUAGUUAAAUUCGGCUUUUGUAUUUGUAAUAGCUGGUCCUACGCCGGAUGAGUUAGUUGGUAAGGUAACGGCUUAUCAAGGCUACGAUAGGUAGCCGACCCGAAAGAGUGGUCGCCGACAUGGGAAGGGAGACAGGGACGAGACUCCUGCGGGAGGCAGCAGUCGGGAAUCUUACGCAAUGGGGGAAAGCCUGACAGAGCAACACGGCGUGAGUGAUGAAGGUGUUCGGCUCGGAAAGCUCUGUUGUUGGGAGAGAACAAAAGUGUACUUACACGUGGAGGUAUUGACGGUACCGGAUGAAGAAGCACCGGCUAACUACGUG
rnacentral:rRNA from 1 species